CGCUGCCGGGACCUCGGAGGCGCCUGGCGCGCGCGCUCCCGCCCGGGCGCGUCCCCGCACGUCCCCGCCGGGGCUCCGGGAGGGGUGCGGGCGGGGAGCGCGACCCCCUGGCCAAGGUCUACCGGCAGGACGUCUCCCGUCGCCCCCAUGGGAGAGGGUCCCCGCGGCCUCCAGGCUGCGCCCACGUGCGCGCAGGGUCGUCCGUCGCCCCGAGCGCCUGCUCUCCGGCCCGGGCGUGGGAGGCGCCUAGGGAGAGAGAGAGCCGGUCUGGAGUAGGCACCCGGCGGCCGGGAGGCUGGACGGCGUCUGCCCCCAAGAGCUCCCUGGCCGUGCGCGCCGCGUCAGCCCCCUUGGCAGAGCAGCGCGCCGAUGAGUGUGGCCACGCUUGGAGAACGCAGCGCUGGAGCUGGCCCCAGGCGGGCAGUGGCCUCGGGCGAGGGCAGAAGGGCACUCCGGGCUGUGAAUAGAACACUUGCUUAUCCCUUCAGAGGACAAGCCGGUGGCAGGCCUGGAGCCCCCAGUGACUGGGUCACCUACAGGAAUUACUUCUCUUAGCAAGGCAUCAUCUCCUGUGCAAAGUCUUCACAGAUGCCAACUGCCCCUGGCCAAAGG